GUGGGGAAUAUUGGACAAUGGGGGCAACCCUGAUCCAGCCAUGCCGCGUGAGUGAAGAAGGCCUUCGGGUUGUAAAGCUCUUUCGGCGGGGACGAUGAUGACGGUACCCGCAUAAGAAGCCCCGGCAAACUUCGUGCCAGCAGCCGCGGUAAUACGAAGGGGGCUAGCGUUGUUCGGAAUUACUGGGCGUAAAGCGCGCGUAGGCGGUGAUCUUUGUCAGAGGUGAAAGCCCGGGGCUCAACUCCGGAAUUGCCUUUGAAACGGGAUCGCUAGAGUCCGAGAGAGGAUGGCGGAAUUCCUAGUGUAGAGGUGAAAUUCGUAGAUAUUAGGAAGAACACCGGUGGCGAAGGCGGCCAUCUGGCUCGGUACUGACGCUCAGGCGCGAAAGCGUGGGGAGCAAACAGGAUUAGAUACCCGAGUAGUCC
rnacentral:rRNA from 1 species